GGUACAGUAACCAGGACUGUGUUGUCUCAGGGGUAGAGGUUUUAACAGACUACAGUACCUGACAUCUCUGAAAGGACACUACAGGAUAACCAUGGGUUUGUCUGUUUGGUACAGUAACCAGGACUGUGUUGACUCAGGGGUAGAGGUUUUAACAGACUACAGUACCUGACAUCUCUGAAAGGACACUACAGGAUAACCAUGGGUUUGUCUGUUUGGUACAGUAACCAGGACUGUGUUGACUCAGGGGUAGAGGUUUUAACAGACUACAGUACCUGACAUCUCUGAAAGGACACUACAGGAUAACCAUGGGUUUGUCUGUUUGGUACAGUAACCAGGACUGUGUUGACUCAGGGGUAGAGGUUUUAACAGACUACAGUACCUGACAUCUCUGAAAGGACACUACAGGAUAACCAUGGGUUUGUCUGUUUGGUACAGUAACCAGGACUGUGUUGUCUCAGGGGUAGAGGUUUUAACAGACUACAGUACCUGACAUCUCUGAAAGGACACUACAGGAUAACCAUGGGUUUGUCUGUUUGGUACAGUAACCAGGACUGUGUUGUCUCAGGGGUAGAGGUUUUAACAGACUACAGUACCUGACAUCUCUGAAAGGACACUACAGGAUAACCAUGGGUUUGUCUGUUUGGUACAGUAACCAGGACUGUGUUGACUCAGGGGUAGAGGUUUUAACAGACUACAGUACCUGACAUCUCUGAAAGGACACUACAGGAUAACCAUGGGUUUGUCUGUUUGGUACAGUAACCAGGACUGUGUUGACUCAGGGGUAGAGGUUUUAACAGACUACAGUACCUGACAUCUCUGAAAGGACACUACAGGAUAACCAUGGGUUUGUCUGUUUGGUACAGUAACCAGGACUGUGUUGUCUCAGGGGUAGAGGUUUUAACAGACUACAGUACCUGACAUCUCUGAAAGGACACUACAGGAUAACCAUGGGUUUGUCUGUUUGGUACAGUAACCAGGACUGUGUUGUCUCAGGGGUAGAGGUUUUAACAGACUACAGUACCUGACAUCUCUGAAAGGACACUACAGGAUAACCAUGGGUUUGUCUGUUUGGUACAGUAACCAGGACUGUGUUGACUCAGGGGUAGAGGUUUUAACAGACUACAGUACCUGACAUCUCUGAAAGGACACUACAGG